rnacentral:lncRNA from 1 species
CAUCUGGUAGGAUUAAUUAAUCCAAAGUUUACAUCUGACAGUAAUUAAAAAUCACCAAGCCAAUGAGAUAUAAAUAGGAUUUCAACUGUAAUAAAGAGAAGAGAGAGGAAGGAAGUGGAGGUUAUUUGUAGAAAAGAGAAAUUCAAAAGGUCAAAUUCUUCCAGAAGAAUUUAAAAUCUCCAAAUUGGAGAGGAAUUUUCAUGCACAGACCACAACUGGCUCCAAGAAGUCAAGAAAGCAAGAACUAGCUGACACAGGUGUCUUGUAUUGGAAACACUGAGCAAAGUGAGAAACCUGGAAAGAAUAAUUUUGAGAAAACUCACAGUCCAGACUCUCAUUAAAAAGUACGUGUAUCUUUUUUUGUCACAUCCUUAUUACAUAUAUGCAUA